rnacentral:rRNA from 1 species
AUUGAACACUGGCGGCAGGCUUAACACAUGCAAGUCGAGCGGGGGAAGGUAGCUUGCUACCGGACCUAGCGGCGGACGGGUGAGUAAUGCUUAGGAAUCUGCCUAUUAGUGGGGGACAACAUCUCGAAAGGGAUGCUAAUACCGCAUACGUCCUACGGGAGAAAGCAGGGGAUCUUCGGACCUUGCGCUAAUAGAUGAGCCUAAGUCGGAUUAGCUAGUUGGUGGGGUAAAGGCCUACCAAGGCGACGAUCUGUAGCGGGUCUGAGAGGAUGAUCCGCCACGCUGGGACUGAGACACGGCCCAGACUCCUACGGGAGGCAGCAGUGGGGAAUAUUGGACAAUGGGGGGAACCCUGAUCCAGCCAUGCCGCGUGUGUGAAGAAGGCCUUAUGGUUGUAAAGCACUUUAAGCGAGGAGGAGGCUACUCUAGUUAAUACCUAGGGAUAGUGGACGUUACUCGCAGAAUAAGCACCGGCUAACUCUGUGCCAGCAGCCGCCGUAA